CCUACCCUCUGUGAGCAGGACUCACAGGCACAGGCUAUCACAGGUGGGUGACCACUCUUUUGGUCUCUGGGUCCAGCCCCUCCUUCUUGGUGGCCAGCACCCUCACAUGAGCUCAUCUUUACAGUUACCCGCGAGAAGAGACUGGACCAGGAGAAAGGGCAAACACAGCGCAGCGUCCUCAUGUGUAAGGUGUUGGGAGCCCGAGGAGUGGGCAAGUCGGCCUUCUUGCAGGCCUUCCUCGGCCACAGCCUUGGGGUGAGAAUUAUGGAGGCUCCACCCCCUACCUGGGAACUCAAGGGAGCAGGAGGGGCAGCACAGAGAACUCUGGGCCCAAAAACUGUUCCUACUGUCCACACAGGAAGCCAGGGACAGGGACGCCCCUGAGAAAUUGCCCACGCAUACCAUCAAUACAGUGCGGGUCAGCGGACAGGAAAAGUACCUGAUUGUGAGUGAGGGCCCUUGUACCCAUUCUUCCUCCUAAUGGAGCUGUCUCAAGGUAGUCCUUGAGGGACCCAGCCUUGGGGAGGCCAUUAAAGCUACUGUUUGUCCCAGCUGUGUGAAGUGAAUGCUGACAGCCUGCUGGACACCUCUCUAGACACUACCUGUGAUGUCGCCUGCUUAAUGUUUGACAGCAGUGACCCCGAGACCUUCGUGCAGUGUGCUACCAUCUACAAGGCAAGUCUUGACCUGGGGUGCUGUAGGGGAUCCCAGCCAUAGCCCUAGUCAGGUAAGCCAGCAAGCCCAGCGCUCAAAUGUUUUGUUUUGUUUUUUCUCCUGGCAG
rnacentral:lncRNA from 1 species